rnacentral:lncRNA from 1 species
ACCUUAGCCAAAAGUUCAAAGUUAGCAUAACUAAUAGUGGGACAACUUGAAAUUAUGCAGCUCAUAAAGCAAUGCAAUAUAAUGUAUACACAAUGAUGUUUAAUUUGAAUCUAAUUAAGCACUCAGACUUAACUUCUGGUUAACAAGAUAUAUAGGGGAUAAAGAAACAAAUUAAACAGCACGAUGAGAAAGUAAUCAGAUAAAACCCAAACAUAGUACAUUACACAAAACAAAAAGUUUUAGGCUGUCCAAAGGACAAUAUUAUGAGAAAAAUAAAAAGAUGGUUGUGCAGGAGAAAUUUAAAGACAUUUAAGGAACAAGACAAUCUAAUGCAGUGUGUGAACUUAUCCAAGUUUAGGGUGACAUAUGUAGGCUAAAUGGGUUUGGAUAAUAGAGGACAUUAAGGAGUCACUGUUAGUUUUUCUAAAUUUGAUAAUGGCAUUUUGGUUUUCUAGAAAAAUGUAUUUUUUGGAGAUGCAUGCUGGAGUAUUCGAAAGUGCCAUGGCUAGAAUGUAUGUGUCCCUCAAAAUUCAUAUUUUGAGACUCAAGUUACAGUAUUAAAAGAUGGGGCCUUUAGAAUGAUUAAAUCAGGAGGGUUUUACUCCUCAUGAAUGAAUUAGUACCCUUAUAAAAAAGGGCUUGAGGGAAGUAGCUAUGCCCUAUUUGUUCUUCUAGCUCUUCUGCUGGGCGAGAUGAAAGCGUUCAUCUUCUCCGGAGAACACACGAAGUCCUCACCUUGCAAGCAGAGACCAGGCCCUCCCCAGACACUGAGCUUGGUGGCACUUGGAUUUUGGACUUCCAGCCUCCAAAAUUGUGAGAAAAAGUGCUGAAUAUCACAGAACACAAAGAAAAGAGAAAGAGAAACUGACAGAGCCUAUAAAUGUUGCACGAAGGUUCAGAUACAUACAGUUCUGCUGGCUUUUUAAGGAGCAGUGUUUCCUAUAUCCUAAGGCAGAUGGACAUGUUGGGAUGGAGGUAUAAUGAGAGAAAAGUGGUUACUUUCAAGACAGCACGCAAUUCCUUUUGGGAGAAAAUUGAAAAUAGAAGAAUGUAAUUUGGUGAUAUUUUUGGUGAGCAGAUGAGCUCCUCUGAGUGGAGCCUCUUAGUCUAGGUUGAGAAAAAUAUCAGUGAAACUAUUCUGCAUAUGGAAAGAACAGCUACUUGGGAGUUGGAAGAUGAUGGAGUAGUCUUACCAACAGAAAGUGGAAGAAUUGUCAGACGGUGUUGAAAUUUUCAUCUACUCGGAAGCUGUAUGGUCACCUCCUGCCUGUACAGUAGCCUUCAAGAGCAGGCCGAAAGCUUUCUUGCCUACUUCCAUGUCUCUCCUCUCUAUGACUGGAUCCCUUGGAAAAGAUCGUAUCCAAAUGUCAGAUAAGUGAAGAGUUCCCUCUUCUGCCAUCUCUGCUGGCACAAUGGGUAACUUUGGAGAAAACUCUGGCAAGGAAGCCACAGUGUUCCAAGACCCAAAAAUGUUUUGUUUUCUGGCUCAGCAGAGGGCAAGGCCCCAUUCUUUAGUCCAAUGCUGGAAGUGCCUUCUACACCCAUGUGACUCUGGCCUCUACUAAGGGGGCUCCACCUCAGUGCCUCCCUUGUUUUUUUCUAGGAGGAUGUAGAAAACUACAGAGAAGAUGUCUAUUCGUUUUCUGCCUUCAAAAACUGGUAAUCCGUCAUAUGUGACCCACUUAUUCCUGAGCUGUUUCUCAGAGAUUUUCUAACUGAGAAGAUUUGUUUCCAACUGAGAAGGGAGCUGACUUAUGUGGGGAAGUCUCAACAAUGUAGUUUAUUUCCUUUCCUUUUCCCUCUCACAGCAGUAGGGAUGGCAUUUUGUCUCAUUUUCUUCCAGCCAAUGAGUUAACAAAUAUUUAUUGAAUAAUUACGGUAUGCACUGAGCAAAUAUAGGCUCUGGGAUUAAAGUGAGAACAAAAGAGACCAAGUUUUUGCCCUCAUAAAUCUUCCAGUUUCAAAGCAAGUGAAAAAGCCAAUUGGCUUCAUCAUCUCUCCUGACCACUGAACAGUGACCUCAGCCCUCUUAGAUCAGUUCUGGUCUAGGAGGUUAGAGGAGAGGUAGGACAUAGAUGUUUUUAAAUGUAAUGAUGGUGUUCUGUAGGUAUGAUUCUUGUAUCAGAACACCUAUCUAGACACUCUUAAAAUAAUUCCAGGCCAUUUCUAUUAUCUGUAGCUGUAUGCAAAUUGUAUUGAAAUAUCAGGUCAUGAUCUUUCUUCUCCACUCCAUUUCUCUCCUGUCAGUGAGGAGGUUUUGUAAAAUAGAUGAAAAUAUAUACAGUGACACAAAAAUACAAAGCUAAAUAUCUAUAGUAGAGAAAUGCAAAUUAACAUAACCACCGUAUGAUUUUCCUAGCAGGAGAUCCUAGCUAAUAUGAAAUUUUUUGAGGCAUCACAGCACCCAUAAAGUAUGGGAAAUAAAUAAGUGAAUUCCUGAACAAUGUGAUAUAAAUUUGAUGUUACCUUUAAAUAUGAAAAAUAAGCCUCUGAUAUAUAUCCAUUAGGAUCUUAGAUUUGUUUAACUUGUUAUCACUAAUGCCCUAUUGAAGUACAAUUGAAAAUUAAUAUAUAUAGUAGUAAAAAAAAUGACCAUUAAAGAAAGUUCAUGCAUGACAUUUUUAUAGACUUGUGGACUCUCUUGAAUUCAGAAUGUGGGCCAGAUGGUCAUAGGUGAAUUGUUCUCACUCACUAAUGCUUUCUGCUGCUUCACUGAUUUUUGAUCUUCAGAUUGCUUCAGUCUCAUUCAGAAUGUAUGGUAAAUGAAAAUUUCCAAUUGUCUUCACAAAAUAUCUUAUUAUGUUUAUGAUAAAAAAUUACAUAAAUUUUAUAGGCCUAAAUCAAAUAAAAGCCUUACUAAAUUCAUAGAUACUUCAAUGGGAAAUAUUGAGUUUAUCUUUAAGAGUGAAAAUGAUUUUUCUGAGCUUGCAAUAUGUUCAAAUCCCUAUUUUUGUGCUAAAUAUCUUUUGUAUGUAUUCAUUUAUUUAUUAAGUUCAUAUUCAAUAAAGUCAUUCGUUUGAUUAUUCAGUUAUUUAUUUCAUCGUAACUCCAGAUGUAUUAGUUUGGGCUGCUAUAAC